CCUGAUGUCCCUCCGCGUUGUGACACCCACAAUGGCACUAAGGGAAUCAUUGUGACCGAAAACAAACCAAAACAGAAUACGAGAUGCUGAAAUAAAAGAGUCACACAGCAGUAUUGCUAAAAGGAGUCUAAGUCACACAUCCGAGGUUUAUGUUCGCUUUUGGCUAUGCUGCCUAUUGGCCGGUGUCUGUAAUGGCCAUUAGAGUUUAAUAAACAAAAAGGUAAACGGGAACUUGUGCAUUUUUAAGUUGCUUCCACAAAGAGGAUGAAUAUGCUGAAGGCUGCUUAAUAGUCAUUGGUCUUUGUUUGCACAACAUUCGUGAGCCACCCUCGCACGUCGUGUUUAUUUCCCCUGUAAUACUCGUGCCCUGGCUGUGCCCAUGUGGCUCAGCAGCGCGCCCCCGCCGGCUCCCACCCCCCACCGCCACCCCCAGCCCAGACCGACAUCAGACGUUGCAGGAACCCACGCCCAGUUCAGCAGGAAACAGGUGGAAGGUUGAAUAGCUUCACACGCUUUUCGGGAGGGGGUGGGGAGAAAGAGGAGAAAAAGGAGGGCGGGAGAGCAGGCUUUUGGGAGCCGAUUUAAGGAUUAGAUCAGAUGUUAUUGCUAGUGAAAAAUUAAACAGCCCGGUGCUCUGGGGACUGCAGAUUAAUAUAUUUAGUGGCUGUGCGCACAAAGGCCGCUCAUUGUGGCCGCGUCUGAACGCCUGUGAAUAGGACGGAACAUAUGCGGCCUGUCUCCGCAGGUGCCCACAUCUGUUCCUGGGCGGGCAGAUGCUCGCAGAAAGGAGGUGGGAGGCCGGGCAGGACGGCGCAGCCGCGCGGAGCCGCUCGGGUCCGGCGGGCGGCCGCGGGGCGGGGGGGGGGCGGGGGGGGGGCGGCCGGGCNNNNNNNNNNNNNNNNNNNNNNGGGCGGGCCGUGUCCCGGAGCGAGACCUCGGGCGGGCCCGGGUCGCUCUCGCCGCCCUUCCUUUCCCACCCACAUUGUCUGACGCGGCCUCGGGCCGGAGACUCCCAGGUGGGGCCCCGCCUCGGUGCAGGUGACCGCGUGCGCCCUGUGCCGCGCGCCCGGCGACCAGGGCUGGCCCGUCGACCUCGCCAUCCCAGCCCGCGCGCAUGUCCCUGCGACGGGUGCCCGCCGCCGCCACCCACUCCAAGCCACCCUCUGGAGCGCCCACCGGCGCCGCACCCCCUCCAGGCAGCCCUCCGGAGCGCCUGGCCCGGCGCGUUCAGUCGGGGGCCGCUCGGGCGGGAGCGCGGAGCAGCUGCGCGGUCAUCUGAUCCGGACAAAGGCGCCCGGAGCCGCGCCAGGUAUUUGGGAGCCUGUUGCCUACCAGCUGGAGGGAUGACCUUGGAGGACUUCAGCUGACUACUCGGUCUUUGAGGAUUUUCCCUCUCCCUGGGCGUUACGUGGUCACUGUGAUCUCAACAUCUGCCUCAGUGAAAGUCACGUUUUGCCAGGACAGUGCAGUCCUGACAGAGAGGCCGGCUGCAGCACACCUACAGCGAGGCCUCAGUGACCGGGCGCCCUGUGCGGUACUGCUCAUCAACGUGACCUUUACUCCACGCCCACACCUUUCACCCCGGAUGACGGUGCCCCGGGUGUUGGGGGUGGGGGAGAUGGAAGGAGGAGCAGAUAGGGGUGAGAUAGAGACCUCAACGUGAGCCCUGCGCGAGGCUGGAUGCCAGAGUGGGAGUCCCUGCUCCACCUUAAUUCUGCACUGUGCCCGCAAGCUUGAAAACAACUUAGAUAGCGCAUUGUGAGAUAACGUGCGUUCUCGGCCCUCCCAAUAAACUCAUUUCCCUUAAAAAAAAAAAGAAAACAAAAGUUCUAGUGUCUGAUGGAUUUGUAAAAACCUAAUAGGGUGAGGGUUGUGCAAAGGUGAUGGUUGUGCGAAGGUGGCGGGCUGGGGGGGGGCCAGGCUGGAGAGGCUUUAGAACAUGUGCCGGACAUUGUUGCAGAGGCCGCGGCGCGCGCGGAGGGGAGCUCUUUCUGUCUGCAUUGUGCGGGGAGCAGGUGCGGUCUGCAUUACCAUACAGCUGAGCGCACAAAGAGCCACUGAUUCAGCCGCGCACAAUAACAGACCGCCUUAAUGACAGCCACGCGAACGACUCACACCAAACUCACUUUUCACCAGACCGAGGGGGACCGAGGGGGGAUGCCCAGGAGAGAGGGGCCGGAGGCCCCGGCGAGGCCGCGGAGGCCGCCAGCCGCGCCCAGACGGGCGUGGGCGCGUGCGCCGUGCCGCNNNNNNNNNNNNNNNNNNNNNNNNNNNNNNNNNNNNNNNNNNNNNNNNNNNNNNNNNNNNNNNCCCCCAGCGGCGGCCGACCCGUGCGCGGACACCCCGAGCUCGAGGAAACGGGGUCCCCGAGGGCGCCGCGCUCACCUCUGCGUUUCCAGACGCAGAGUGGCUGUCCGGGAGGCGUCUGGGUGUCAGAGCUUUCCAACCUCCCCGAAACUGCCGUUGCCCUUUGGCCACCCUCUGCCCACCGCUCACACCCUCCCCUCCCUGCGCCCCGGUCCCCCGCCCCGGAGACUCCUCCUUAGGAAGAGACUGCCCGGGCGGAGGGGCGGCCCGCCGGGGACUGGGCUUCCGACUUCCACUCCCCUCCCUGCACCGCCCCCCCCCCCCCC
rnacentral:lncRNA from 1 species